rnacentral:lncRNA from 1 species
UCAAAUCCUUUUAUAACAAGAAACCAGAAGGGAGAUAACUUUGAGUCUUCAAUUUUUUCUCCACGACUAUUUGAGUACAAGUUCUCUUACUUGUUUAGUCAAAUAAUUGUCGUUCCUCCACAAACUUCCAAACCCCGAUAAAAUCAAAUUAUUUUCACAUUAAGCUAAAUGAAAAGGGAGUUGACUUUUAGUUUUCAACUUUACUCCUCAAUUGGUUGAAUGCGAGUUCUCUUACUCGGUCAAUCAAAC